GACGAACGCUGGCGGCGUGCUUAACACAUGCAAGUCGUACGGUAAGGCCCUUUCGGGGGUACACGAGUGGCGAACGGGUGAGUAACACGUGAGUAACCUGCCCACAACUUUGGGAUAACGCUAGGAAACUGGUGCUAAUACUGGAUAUGUGCUCCUGCUGCAUGGUGGGGGUUGGAAAGCUCCGGCGGUUGUGGAUGGACUCGCGGCCUAUCAGCUUGUUGGUGGGGUAGUGGCCUACCAAGGCGGCGACGGGUAGCCGGCCUGAGAGGGUGACCGGCCACAUUGGGACUGAGAUACGGCCCAGACUCCUACGGGAGGCAGCAGUGGGGAAUAUUGCACAAUGGGCGCAAGCCUGAUGCAGCAACGCCGCGUGCGGGAUAACGGCCUUCGGAUUGUAAACCGCUUUCAGCAGGGACGAAGCUUUUUGUGACGGUACCUGCAGAAGAAGCACCGGCUAACUACGUG
rnacentral:rRNA from 1 species